AGUCCUCUGCAGGAAGACAAUAGUUCCCAGUCGCCAUCAGCAUGUUCAAGCUGCUCUUCGUGGUGCUGGCCGUGCUGGCCGUGGCCUCGGCGCAGUACUUAUACCCCAGCGUGAGCUUCCGCUCCAGCGUCUACCCCAGCGUCUACUCCGGCGUCUACCCCGGCGUAUACUCCAGCGUCUACCCCAACGGCUACAGCUACGGCUACAGCUACGGGCCGCAGUACUACCGGCGCUGAGCGCAGCGGAUCCAAUGACUCUUCCUCAUCGGGCACUUCUUCGUCUUGGUUCAAUAGGUUAAUAUGAAAAUUUUCUCUGUAUUUAAAAAUUGUAAUAAAUUUUUCUUUUUUAACAUUUAAUUCUAUUUUUAUCUUUAUUGGAGUUUUUUAUGUUCCUUACACAAAUAUAUAUCUAAAU